AUCCCUUUUCUUGUAUAUGUCCGGAAAAAUUUUUGUACCCCUAAAAUGGUACACUGACCGAAAUUUUUUUGGCGACGGGGGGGGGGGAGGUCACGAAAAAAAAAUUUAGCCCCCCAGAAUGAAAUCUGUUCCGCCGCCGCUGGAUCCAAGUCUACUCCACGAAUACUUUGUAUUCGCAGAUCGCAAGCACAUAUCAAAUGAAAGUAUAGACGUAGUCCUCACAUAUAAUGUAGCAUGAAUGGCAAAUGCAUUUCAUAACAUAACAUAACAUAACAUAACAUAACAUAACAUAACAUAACAUAACAUAACACAACCUAAAUAUAUCAUGUAACGUCCAUAAUGUUUGGUGACUUAGGUUUUAGUUGAGGCAAAAGGUAAGCUUGGAAAAUCAUGAUUUUCGACAAAACAAACGCACUAUUGCACAGACACGAUCAGUAUCAGCCCAAUUUAAAUUGCAACGAUCUGUGUGCUGGUACCUGCGCUCCUUCGCCCAGCGGCUACGCUCGUGUAAGAUCCGCCAUGUAAAGUGUAGUGAAAUGUAUCUCAUCGUAAUAUUAAAUCCUAAGAAAACUAAAGCCUCUGCGGAGGAGAGAGGUGCUGGUAGGUAGUUUGGCUAGUGCCCCGGGCGCCUUCGCUCGAAACGUCGAAGUUUCACUUGGUUAUUCCAUUUAAUAUCCGUAACCCCCUGUCAAGGAUCUUGGAGUUCUUCAGGGGUAAGGUAAUUUUUGACCCUUGAAUUCCUUAUGGGUAAACAAAUUCUGCUGUGGAAUUCUAUCGUAGCAUGCUUCAAUACAUCAGGAAUCAUAAUAAUAAUAAUUUAAUAAAAUACCGAUUUGUAACCUGUAGGUUAAAUUACAUCGGUAAAAAGUCUCAUUAUACUACAAUAUAAAUAUCUAAAUG